ensembl:lncRNA
GGCUAUGGCAAGCCCUUUGUUUCUCUGAGAGGAGCAUCACAGAGAAAACAACAAGGUUCUUAUCCCCCGUGUAAUGUGAAAUAGCCCGAGGGAUUCCUGUAGCGGCAGUUGAACACAGCCUUCGGCCCUUCAAAAAUGAACAUCACUUAGUGCGUAAGAGAAGAUUUGAUCCUGGAUGAAAGCCGUUAUUUACAAAGCAAAUAAUUUGUCACAUCGUUAUCUCAGCUUUAGACUGGCUGGGAGAUAUGCAGCCUGGGAUCAAGUAACCCCAUGUUAGCCAGCAAGAUAUUUUGUCUUUUCAUUUACUCCUUAUGGUGGCUCUACAAAGUAGACAGUAUUAUUUUCAUGUCACAGAAGAUGGGGACUCAAAUGGACUCAAGGAGAUUA